GGACCAUUGUCUGUCCGAGGCCCUCAGGAGGUAUCCCAUCCACCAGAACCAGUGAGUUCGGAUCAGUCUGAUUCGCUGUGCUCUGAGUCAGAGGGGGACCAGCUUGAGGACCUGUUAACUCUGAUCCUGUUCUCCAGGACCUAGGGGUUCUGCCCAACACCCAGAUGUGGAUCCACCUGAUGUCCUUCAUUUCCAACUACCCUCCAACUUUUCAUUACAUCAUCUACAGCUACUGUUAUUGUCAUGUUGUCAUUAUCUGCUAAGAAAGUUUUCUUGCUCUAUCAUACUGGGCACAUAAUAUGUGAGAUACACAAAUUAACUAAAAAUACUAGCACUGCAAAGAGAGCAGCAGUGCCUGGAAUUUGCAGUCUCGCUCUUCAAGUCCCCCUUCCAGAGACUUGCUUCCUGUUGAGAACAAGUGACAGGCAGAACCUCCCACCCACACAGCAACCACCUCCUCUAUAUUCCACACACCAGAAUUCUAUGAUUGCCAUAUGAGUAUACAACAAAAAUCUGUGAAAUUAAAUUAAUGACACAACUGUACCAAAAACUAUCAAAAUGUAUAGAUUCAAAUCUUAAAUAUUGCUAGUUGGGUUUUCACAGCUGUUUCACAAGGUGUUCAUUGUAAGUUGUAACAUAUCUUUUGAUGUUUUUUAUUUGUUCCACAUUAUUCAUUGUUGUAUCCUAGGACCUACAAUAGAUACAUAUAUAUUCAACCAUAAGGGUAAUAAUGAGCUAUGUGAGUGUCACUUUCGUUGGAAUGAAUAUCGGACCAAGGCUGUUGAGGUAUGUUGAGUUCCACAUAAUUUAAUAAAAAAGUGAAACUUUA